rnacentral:tRNA from 1 species
GCCCCCAUCGUCUAGAGGCCUAGGACACCACCCUUUCAAGGUGGCGACGGGGAUUCGAAUUCCCCUGGGGGUACCA